GAUGAAGAACGUAGCGAAAUGCGAUAAGUAAUGUGAAUUGCAGAAUUCAGUGAAUCAUCGAGUUUUUGAACGCAUAUUGCGCCCUCUGGUAUUCCGGGGGGCAUACCUGUUCGAGCGUCAUUAAAUAACCCUCAAGCAUAGCUUGGUGUUGGGCUUUUUUACGUCCUUGACUGGGAUGGGCCUAAAAAUUAGUGGCGAUGGCUUUUUUACUUUCAAGCGUAGUAAAUCUCGUCUUGCUAAAGAGGAAAAAGAUUUUUUUUCUGCCAAAAAUUUUAACAUUUAAAGUUGACCUCGGAUCAGGUAGGAUUACCCGCUGAACUUAAGCAUAUCAAUAAGCGGAGGA
rnacentral:misc_RNA from 1 species